rnacentral:lncRNA from 1 species
UAAAUAUGAACAAAUUAAUCUUCUGUGCUGCCUAUGUUUUUUAUGCAGCUAGUGGAUAUUAUGUAAAUAUGUCAGUCAGAGUCCUUAAGGGAGCUGCAAGCAUGCAUUUGCCUGAGUUACCUCAACAAUGGGCAGGAGAAGAAAAAUUUCUAACAAGCCAACUUGAUUUUACAAGUCUGCAGAGAUCACCAUGGUGGACUGAUCCAUCUGUGGUGUUACACCCUUAUCUUGAUCAUCAUAGUGUGCUUUUAAUUCAAAUAUUUGGCCUGAAUGCUAUUUAUGUUCCGGAUCCAAGUGGACAGAGACCAGGAAAAGUAAUAUCUCACCCUGGUCAGAUCCUGGAGCUUAAUACACAAUCACAGUUAGGCUGGACUGCUGUUCCACUCUUUGACAGUGACUAUGUGAAGAGUGGUGUGCACAGUGCUCUGUUGUUUCGGGGUUCUCCAAGUGCAGAAUUUCUCCAGUCUGUAAUCUCUCUGCCAGUGAAAGAUGUUAUGGCUGAAGGUAUAAAGAAAAAGACAUUAAAACUUUUGCCAACUUUUAGCAGUGUUACUCUUGAGUUUUGGGAUGGUCAUUACUUUGAAGAGGAGCAUUAUGAGCUACCUGUUCUAAACAACCUUCUAACUGUUGCCAACACAAAGAAAUUUGUGGACACUCAAGCAAACGAGAGGCCAGGAGCUGUCACAGCUAGUUCUGCACAGUAUGGAUAA